UUUUUUUUUGCACACUAAUAAAUAAACUACUGCAACAACAACAGAAAAAGCAAGCGGAAUCCAAAUAUCCUCUCGGUUGCCAUUUGGUUAUAUAAGAAGGACGAAUUAAGGCGAGCUGGCGGUAAAGAGUCGCUCCAAAUCCAAGCCCCUGCACCGGCCUUAAAUCAAAAGGGAAAAAGUGGGGCAGAGUUCUGCCAGCAGCAAACAUGAUCUGCUUCUGGGGAGAGGACUGUCACAGGUCACAGAACUCGGCCCAGCUAAAAGUCCGCAGCCCCUGCACACCUCCGGGAACCCUUGUUCGUUGUUGUUGUGCAGGGAUGGGCUCCAGGCAGCUUCCUUUGUAAGGUGCCCCCCACCCCAGCCCGCGGGUCGAGCUGCCGGGGCAGGGAGCAAACACCCGCCCCAAGGUACUGGACCACCGGCGUCCCUCUGCCCAGGAAUUUAGGAUUGGGAUGGAGAAAAAGAAAACAGUGUUUAUGAAGAGCCAGAAAGCGUUCUGUCGGCCCGAAUGGACAAGACAGUCCUCCAGUUGUCCUUGUGAUGAGGUCAAGAAAUAACAGAAGUUUGUGAUGGUUAAUUAACCACCAGGAUCAUCAGAAAACACUUCAGCCAACAUUUUUCAGCAGAGUUUACCAAGAAGGAAG
ensembl:lncRNA